rnacentral:rRNA from 1 species
CGAGGGCUUCGGCCCUAGUGGCGCACGGGUGAGUAACACGUGGGAACCUGCCUUUCGGUUCGGGAUAACGUCUGGAAACGGACGCUAACACCGGAUACGUCCUUCGGGAGAAAGUUUACGCCGAGAGAGGGGCCCGCGUCCGAUUAGGUAGUUGGUGGGGUAAUGGCCCACCAAGCCGACGAUCGGUAGCUGGUCUGAGAGGAUGAUCAGCCACACUGGGACUGAGACACGGCCCAGACUCCUACGGGAGGCAGCAGUGGGGAAUAUUGGACAAUGGGGGCAACCCUGAUCCAGCAAUGCCGCGUGAGUGAUGAAGGCCUUAGGGUUGUAAAGCUCUUUCGCACGCGACGAUGAUGACGGUAGCGUGAGAAGAAGCCCCGGCUAACUUCGUGCCAGCAGCCGCGGUAAUACGAAGGGGGCGAGCGUUGUUCGGAAUUACUGGGCGUAAAGGGCGCGUAGGCGGCCCGAUCAGUCAGAUGUGAAAGCCCCGGGCUCAACCUGGGAACUGCAUUUGAUACUGUCGGGCUUGAGUUCCGGAGAGGAUGGUGGAAUUCCCAGUGUAGAGGUGAAAUUCGUAGAUAUUGGGAAGAACACCGGUGGCGAAGGCGGCCAUCUGGACGGACACUGACGCUGAGGCGCGAAAGCGUGGGGAG